ensembl:ncRNA lncRNA:CR45427 long non-coding RNA:CR45427
CUUGCAGAACUUAUUCCUUAGAUUUUCUAAUCGGAAUUAAUGUUAUUUCUGACACUCGAGUCUCAUGAUUCAUGGCCUGCUUGCAUUUUAAAUACGCAUUCUUAAACGAGAACCCCAAGCAUAACGACUCUUGUGACAAAAGCACGGAAUCCAUUCUGUGCACUGAAUUAUAAAUAAACCGCAUAAAUAAGCCCGAAGUCAGCAGCAAAUGUAACACCCACCAGUGCCACAUGCAAAUGUGCCAGGCUAACAAAACACAACAUUCAUUUCAAUUUCAGCUAACUGCGACACUCAUAAAAAUUCCAAACAUAAAUCGAAUUAGUAGAUAAAAUUGCAAGUGGGUCGGAGAGAAAACGUAGAAAAAAAUAAUAUAGAAGUCUUGCCUAAAAAGCAAAACAUUUCUAGAUAUAUCCCCUGAUCGCAGUCAUUUUUUGAACAUUCUAAACAAUAGAAGUUCUGCAAGAAUGGUU